GGUUGUCGUCAGCUCGUGCCGUGAGUGUCGGGUUAAGUCCCAUAACGAGCGCAACCCUCGACCUUAGUUGCCAGCAUUCAGUUGGGCACUCUAAGGUGACUGCCGGCUAAAAGUCGGAGGAAGGUGGGGAUGACGUCAAAUCAUCAUGCCCCUUAUGACCUGGGCUACACACGUGCUACAAUGGGCGGUACAAAGGGUCGCGAACCCGCGAGGGGGAGCCAAUCCCAAAAAGCCGCUCUCAGUUCGGAUUGCAGGCUGCAACUCGCCUGCAUGAAGCCGGAAUCGCUAGUAAUCGCGGAUCAGCAUGCCGCGGUGAAUACGUUCCCGGGCCUU
rnacentral:rRNA from 1 species